ACGGGGUGCAGCAGGCGCGAAACCACCACAAUGCGCGAAAGCGUGAUGGGGUUAGCCCGAGUGCUAUCCGAAAAGGAUGGCUUUUCCUUGGCGUAAAAACCCAGGGGAAUAAAGGGGGGGCAAGACUGGUGUCAGCCGCCGCGGUAAUACCAGCUCCCUGAGUGGUAAGGACGAUUAUUUGGCUUAAAGCGUCCGUAGCCGGCUUAGUGAGUCUUUUGUUAAAUCCAAUGAUUCAAUCAUUGAACUGCAAGAGAUACUGCUAUGCUAGAGGACGGGAGAGGUCGACGGUAGUCCAGGGGUAGGGGUGAAAUCCUAUAAUCCUUGGAGGACCACCAGUGGCGAAGGCGGUUGAUUAUAACGUGCCUGACGGUGAGGGACGAAAGCUGGGGGAGCGACCCGGAUUAGAUACCCGGGUAGUCCCAGCUGUAAACGAUGCGGGCUAGGUGUAGGGGCAGCUACGAGCUGCUCCUGUGCCGCAGAGAAAUUGUUAAGCCCGCCGCCUGGGGAGUACG
rnacentral:rRNA from 1 species